rnacentral:rRNA from 1 species
AACGCUGGCGGCGUGCUUAACACAUGCAAGUCGAACGGAAAGGCCCUGCUUUUGUGGGGUGCUCGAGUGGCGAACGGGUGAGUAACACGUGAGUAACCUGCCCUUGACUUUGGGAUAACUUCAGGAAACUGGGGCUAAUACCGGAUAGGAGCUCCUGCUGCAUGGUGGGGGUUGGAAAGUUUCGGCGGUUGGGGAUGGACUCGCGGCUUAUCAGCUUGUUGGUGGGGUAGUGGCUUACCAAGGCUUUGACGGGUAGCCGGCCUGAGAGGGUGACCGGCCACAUUGGGACUGAGAUACGGCCCAGACUCCUACGGGAGGCAGCAGUGGGGAAUAUUGCACAAUGGGCGGAAGCCUGAUGCAGCAACGCCGCGUGCGGGAUGACGGCCUUCGGGUUGUAAACCGCUUUCGCCUGUGACGAAGCGUGAGUGACGGUAAUGGGUAAAGAAGCACCGGCUAACUACGUGCCAGCAGCCGCGGUGAUACGUAGGGUGCGAGCGUUGUCCGGAUUUAUUGGGCGUAAAGGGCUCGUAGGUGGUUGAUCGCGUCGGAAGUGUAAUCUUGAGGCUUAACCCUGAGCGUGCUUUCGAUACGGGUUGACUUGAGGAAGGUAGGGGAGAAUGGAAUUCCUGGUGGAGCGGUGGAAUGCGCAGAUAUCAGGAGGAACACCAGUGGCGAAGGCGGUUCUCUGGGCCUUUCCUGACGCUGAGGAGCGAAAGCGUGGGGAGCGAACAGGCUUAGAUACCCUGGUAGUCCACGCUGUAAACGGUGGGUACUAGGUGUGGGGUCCAUUCCACGGGUUCCGUGCCGUAGCUAACGCUUUAAGUACCCCGCCUGGGGAGUACGGCCGCAAGGCUAAAACUCAAAGGAAUUGACGGGGCCCCGCACAAGCGGCGGAGCAUGCGGAUUAAUUCGAUGCAACGCGUAGAACCUUACCUGGGUUUGACAUGGAUCGGGAGUGCUCAGAGAUGGGUGUGCCUCUUUUGGGGUCGGUUCACAGGUGGUGCAUGGCUGUCGUCAGCUCGUGUCGUGAGAUGUUGGGUUAAGUCCCGCAACGAGCGCAACCCUUGUUCACUGUUGCCAGCACGUUAUGGUGGGGACUCAGUGGAGACCGCCGGGGUCAACUCGGAGGAAGGUGGGGAUGACGUCAAGUCAUCAUGCCCCUUAUGUCCAGGGCUUCACGCAUGCUACAAUGGCUGGUACAGAGAGUGGCGAGCCUGUGAGGGUGAGCGAAUCUCGGAAAGCCGGUCUCAGUUCGGAUUGGGGUCUGCAACUCGACCUCAUGAAGUCGGAGUCGCUAGUAAUCGCAGAUCAGCAACGCUGCGGUGAAUACGUUCCCGGGGCUUGUACACACCGCCCGUCAAGUCAUGAAAGUUGGUAACACCCGAAGUAGAAGGCCUAACCGUUGUGGGGGAGCCGUCGAAGGUGGGACU